UGGGGCGUAGCUCAAUUGGCUAGAGCACAAGCCUUUGGAGCUUGGUGUUGAUGGUUCAAUUCCAUCCGCCCCAGCCA
rnacentral:tRNA from 1 species